rnacentral:rRNA from 1 species
CGCGUAGGUGGUAGUGUAAGUCUGGGGUGGAAUGCCGGGGCUUAACCCUGGAAUUGCCUUGGAAACUGCAUUACUUGAGUCAGUGAGGGGAGGGUAGAAUUCCUGGUGUAGCGGUGAAAUGCGUAGAUAUCAGGAGGAAGGCCUGUGGCGAAGGCGGCCCUCUGGUGCUGGACUGACACUGAGGCGCGAAAGCGUGGGGAGCAAACAGGAUUAGAUACCCUGGUAGUCCGCGCCCUAAACGGUGGGCACUAGGUGUAGGGCUCGUAAGGGUUCUGUGCCGAAGGGAAACCACUAAGUGCCCCGCCUGGGGAGUACGGCCGCAAGGUUGAA